UAGAUAAUGCCUAUAGCUAUCUCUGAGAAGAUUGCUGCAAAGACUAAGAGGAACACAGACCUUUCUUCUGGAAUGUUCCUGCUCCUAUCUGUAGGAUGAAUGAGUGAAUGAGUGCAUCAGUGACUCAGACAAAGCCACUGUUGCACAACUGUAUGCAUGCACAGUGAACUCUGCAGACUUUGUGGAUGGUUCCUGUAAAUACAGCUUAAAACCGCAGUGGAAAAGCCACAUGCUCCUGAUACACUUGUGGGGACGUAAAGGGAAAACCCACACACCCAAGGAGGCGGACUCUGGCCAUGCAAGGCUGAAGGCCCAGUGUACUGAUAGGGAAACUGAAGCUCAGAGAGAAGAGGCGAUGUUGCUUUCUUAACCACUGGAUUUGUAGUGCUGUGGUUCUCAGGAGAGGCCAGGACAGGUUAACCUACUCGCUUGGGAGGCAGGCUUAAUCAUUGAUGUCUGUGGGAAGGUAGUACUGACCAAGUUUCUCCAUCGUGACCAGAGGGUGGGACUCCACAGCACACCAUGGAACAUGAAGGAAAUGGUCCCUCCACCUCUCCAGGCCCACACUCCUGCCCUGGGGGAUCCCUCCACCCUCAGAGAUGCUUUGAGCACAGAGGCCGAUACACACAACCCUCCAGUGUCAGCCCGGUCUGUCCUCCUGCCCAGCCUCCCCUGGAGCUCAGUCCCUGAACGUCUCCGAGUCAGCCCCAUGAAGCUCCAUGAAGUUCUCUAGAUGGUCCGCUGCAUCCUAGUCCCAGAGCACAGACAUACUGUGUUCCCCCUUGGUGGAAGGCCUUUCUAUGCAUUUUCCUGUAUUUAAUUAGUUGCUAAUACUGUAUUAAUAGACGAAACACUCUGAGGAACUCUAAAAACAUUUCAGGAGCCCAAGGCCUUCCUGAUAAAGGCCCAUAAACCUUGUCUUCGGUAUUCUUUGAAGUCGAAGCAACAUCUCCUGAGGCCUGGUUUUUCAGUUUGAUAGGGGCCAUGGCACUGGAUUCAAAUUCUAAAAGUUCUGAAUAUCCAACAACGUAUGAGUCUGUUGAAACUUCAGUUUAAAGUGAGGACACCUGGAAAACUCUCCCAAAAAAUAGGAUAAGGAAGGAGGUCACAACACAGCCCACCUUGCUCCCUCAGGACGUCCUGUGGCACAGGCUGAGCCUUGGGCGCUGGAGUCAUGGCCCUCAGUGAGGAGGCUUGCUCUCAUCCUUGUCACUAGGUUGUGGAACCGCAGCCCUCAAGAGGCCGAGUGACCUGGGCAGUGAGUCCACCAGUGAUGCCCUGGGACAAUGGGUUUUAGAGCAUUGUUGUCCAAUAGAAAUAUGGAGUUAGAAACACAUCUAAUUUUAAAUUUUCUAGCAGCCACAUUAAAAGGGUGAAAAUAUGUAAAAUUAAUUUAAAUAAAAUUUAACCCAGCAUAUUCAAAAUAUUAUUUCAACAUGUAAUCAUGUAAACGCAUUAUUCACCUAAUUCAGU